rnacentral:lncRNA from 1 species
CCUACACAGAGGGACACAUCUGCUUUGUUAUUUAUAAUAGAAAGCUAAAUUUUAAUUUUUUAAAGGACACUGCUAAUGAUUGAGAAUCGAGUUUUUAGUUUUGCUAUUUUUUUUAAUUGGUAGAGGAUUUUUUAUAUAUUUUUUCCAUUUUGUUGGGUUGUGUCCUUAUUUAUAUAAAUACUUUAUCCGUGAGAGGCAAGGAAGAAAACUUCUUUGCUUUUAAUUAUUGUGGUUGUCAUCGUCCCUAUUUUAUUUCUGGUGUGAUUUAUCUCUUUUACCUUCUAAAUGAGAAAAUGUUUUCCUGUAUUUGUACAUUGUCAGAUUCUAUAGUUUCAUAGAUAAUUUAACCAAAUUGCUCUAUGUAUUAUUAUUCUGUGAGUAUAAAGUUCUAUUUUAAUGUCUGUAAAUACUUCAGAACUGGCUUCUUUUCUCAAACUCCACUGUGGAGUUAUUGUUUACAUCACAAAAACUGUAGAAUCUCUAUGCUCAUGUACUGUAAAUAGUGAAGUGAUCUGCUUAUAAAUAAACUUAACAAAUACACUAUGGAGAUUAAAAAGAAAAUACCACCCAC